ensembl:lncRNA
UCGAGAUAAUCUUUUUCUAUAAGAGUAAACUGUAACCAGAAGUGUUUUGUAUUUCUAAUAGUCGCUUCCGGGUUAUUGAGAAAUUAUUUUCUGCUAAAGCCAAAUAUUAUUAAUAUACUAAUAAGAUACUUUUCUCUCCGCCCUAAAAGUGAGAGUCGUUAAUUAACAAAGCGGCACGGCAGACUGUCUAAUCAAGGAGGGCUGCUGCCGCGUUCAAAACAACUGGGAACUCGGAAAAAUACAAGGUCGAAUCAUGACGUCAGUGAUCUUCAGGUCGGAACUCCAGAAGAGGCCCGAUUUCAUCAACGGUUCAGAAAUCCAUAUUCCUCCCUAAAAUCUCACCAGAAGGAACAGGUUGAUGGUUUCAGCCAUGGUAUUCUCAUUUUCCUUAUGUGGUUUACCUAACAAGCAUCAGGUGACUAUUUUACAGGAAUACUCAGAUUAAACAUGGAUCGCAAUCUACACGCCGCAUUUUGGUCCGACUCUCCUUCACCAAAAGAGAACUGUUACAGAAUCACCCACCGCAACGGGACCAAGCGGCGUGUCAACAGGCAGGAGCCACCAAAAGAGAACCGUUACACUUUUUCCAAAGCAUCUGGUCUAUAUCUUAACAUUAACAAAUGUGAACUCAUGGCUGUCAAAGAUUGUGACACCUUCAUAUUAUGGUAUUCCAGUAAAAGAAGAACUUACAUAUUUAGGCAUAACCAUUACAAAGGAUCAGAAGUCUAGAGGCUUACUAAAUUUUAACCCUCUUAUUAAAAAAACCCAGAAGAAACUAAAUCAAUGGCUACAGAGGGACUUAUCUUUAAAAGGUAGAGUCCUAAUAACCAAGGCUGAAGGUAUCUUUAUAUCUUGACCGUAAAAUAAGCAAGGAGAUAGACCAGAUGCUUUUCAACUUUCUUUGGAGAAACCGUACCCAUUACAUUAGGAAAACUGUUGUAAUGAACACUUAUGAGAAUGGUGGACUGAAUUUUCUGGAUUUUACUACUUUAAAUAAUACUUUCAAGAUCAAUUGGAUAAAACAAUUCCUAAGAAGACCCACUUCUAUCUGGAAUUUUAUUCCUCAUGUCUUCUCUACUUUUGGUGGCCUUAACUUCAUGUUUUGCAAUUAUAAUAUUGACAAAGUUCCAGUGAAACUUUCUGCUUUUCAUCGGUAGGUUUUCUUGUCAUGGUCCUUAAUUUAUAAACACAAUUUUUCUCCACACAGAUAUUAUAUAUGGAAUAAUCGGGAUAUAUUGUAUAAAAAUACCUCUCUGUUUUUAGAAUAUUGGUUCAGAAAUAAUAUCCUAUUGGUGAGCCAACUGGUAAAUGCAGAGGGUCUUUUACUCAGUUAUAAAGAAUUCUUAUCACUUUACAAGGUCCCUGUAACACCUAAAGAUUUUGCAAUUGUUUUAGAUGCCAUUCCCUCAGGUGUUGCUAUGUUAUUCAGGAACAUAUCAAGACCUGACCCUCAGAGCCUACCUUCUAUUGACCCUGUUGACUCAUCAGUAGGAAAGAUUUGUUUCUCUUUUGGUCCAUUCAACAACCAGCGAUACGAUCCUUGUUUCAGCAGGAUGUUGUAUCUAUACCUUAUGUCAUGCCUUAUUGGAAUGGAUUUAUUGAUAAUAUCUGUUGGAAAAAAAGUUUGGAUGUUGCCACACACAUCUACUUGUUAACAAAAUUAAGGAAGUUUCCUUUAAAAUUAUUCAUAAAUAUUAUCCUGCCAACCACUAUAUGAAGAAGUUUAAGGAAAACAUCAACUCCAAUUGCUCCUUUUGUAAUGACCACCCAGAAACAGUUGUGCAUCUUUUUUGGCAUUGUAUGCAUGUAAGAAAACUGUGGCAAGACAUCAGUAGGUUUAUAAUUGAACACAUUUAUGAAGAGUUUACACUAUUGUGGAGAGAUGUACUGUUUGGAUUCUUUACAUACAAUAGAAAUAAGCGGAAUCAUUUUUAUGUAAUUAAUUUCAUUAUUCUUUUGGCCAAAUUUCAUACACACAAAUGUAAAUUUACAAACAGAAAACCACAUUUUCGUACCCUACAAAAAGAAAUUGAACUGUAUUUUAAGACGGUUAAAUGCUCUACUAACAAAAAAGCUGUUAGAAUUGUAAGUAUAUGCAUGUCCCUUAAGGUCCUUGUGUAAUUGUAAUGUGAUAUUGUACCCCCCUAGCCCCGCCCCUAGCGCGAUUGUCCAUUGUUUGUAAUCUAUGUAUGCUUGUGUUCCCUCAUGUGCUUUAUGUAUUGAUUUGUUGUUAAUAAAAUAUAUAUUUAAAAAAUAUUUUAAAUUUUUUUAAAAGAAGAGGCCCGAUUUCCCGAGUUGGAUGACCGUUCAAAUAGAUUUUCCC